UCCGGAGGCUGCAGAGGAGAGGAGGGGUGGGUGUUGAGGGGCUGCCGAGAAGGGGAACCGGUGGGCAAGGGGCUGAGCGGGAGACUUACCCAGGAGCAGGAACAGCGGCAGAGCCUGUGAGGUGUCCAUGGUGCUGGCCGCACCCUGGAAGAGGACACUGGAGUGAGACUCGGGGCAAGCCCAACAGGACUGGUAGCUUCCUGGGCGGGGAAGGGAGCCAGACCCAGUGGGAGGCACCAGGAUCCCUCACCCCAAUCUGGUGGCUGACCCACCCACCCCACCCCACUGGUCCUCAUUAGUGACUGUCAUCUAAGGGGAGAUCCAGCCUGACCCCUGUCCCCAGACCCCCAGGGGAGAGAGAAUGAGAGCUAAGUCCCAGCUGAAAGUGUGGGAGCAAAGCCAGGAGGACUUCCUGGGAAAGGGUGAGGUGACCUUUCAGAGAGCCCCACUUUUGAUGGCCGUGCCCUCAGCUCAGGCUUUCUCCUCCCCAGGGUCCACUCUGUCCUGCCUGCUGCAGCCUCAAUAAACGCACAUCUGGCCCUGAUCCUUCUCUGCUCCAGGCCCUCCACUGAUUUCCUGUUGCCCUCAGGACCCAGUUUUGGGUGGCUAUCCCCUACCUAGUCAUCUCUUCUGAGACCCAGAACUGCAUCGUCAAGUCCCCCAGAGCCUCCAUCAUGUGCGUGCCACUAAACUUAGCAUCUUCCCUCUAAUCUGACCCUCCUGGAUUCUUCAUCUUGACUACAGUUCCUCCAUUCGUGCAGGGGCUGCGGAGCCUUCCACCCUCCUCUGUCCUCCUCACUGCUGUGAAUCUCUGAAUCCCACCCCUCCUGCCUCCUGCAUCUCUGUUUCACUUCUUUGAGUCUGUUCCCACUGGCCAGGCCCCAGCAUAAGCCUCGUCCUCUGCCCCUGUCCCCUUGUUUAGCUUUCUAUCUUCAGCCUCAUCUCCUACAGUCUGUGGAUCCCCACGUAGCCCUGAGUCUACAUCCAGAGCUGCCCCUUCUUGCCAUAGCUCCUCAGGAGAUAUCCAAGGAAUUUCCAGAGCUUGUCUAACCUAGAUCCAUGCACUCCACCCACUUCCUCCUCCCUCCAGCACUUAUUCUAUGAACACCCUGCUAUUCUUAGGCCUGUCUCUCCCCUUCCAGAUUUGCAGACAGUUUCCUUUGCCUGGAAUGCUCUUCUUUGCUCCCCGCCCUCUUCCAACCUGACUAAACCACAACUUGUCCUUCAGGUCUCUUAUUAUGAACCAAAAUAAUAAUUGCCACUUGCCACGCACCAGGAACCAUGCAAAAAAUGUUCCCCAGACACUAUGGGCUGAACCCUUCCAAACGCCCCAUGAGCUGGGUGUUUACCAUCCCAGGGACUAUGGCUCAGAGAAGGACCUGCUAGAGGUUGCACAGCCAGAGGGAGACGCUGGGUGGUCCAGCCAAGGAUGGUCAGGCUGCUCACUCUUGAAAGUUUUUCCUACCAUCCCAUGGUGGUCUAAGCAGGUCCCAGGUCUUCGAGCUUACUCAGGUAGUCUUGCUACGCAGGUAAUAGUAAUGAUGAUGCUACAUAGUGAGCAUUUUCUGCAUGUGGAGUGGUUCUGAAGGUACCACAUUAACCCUUUAAAUCCCAUGGGGGUAGGUUUGAUAGUUUAAAAAAAUGGCUGCUAUUAUGACUUUCUCUCACUAAGGAAUAUGGUCUCUGUCCCCUCCCCUGGCACCUGUAUAGGCUCUGUGACCUCUAGACCAAGAGACUACAGUGGAAGUGACCCCGCGUGUCUACACCUAGGCCUCAAGGGACUGGCAUAGUCCAUUUCCUGUAUCAAGGAACACUCCCGCCAUGCUGUGAGGAAGCUCAGGCAGCUCCUUGGAGAGUUGUGGCCCCCUAGUCAACAGCCAGCUCAAGCCCACAGCCCCAGUCAGCUUGCAAGCACACAAGGGGGCCAUCUUGGACAUCAAUCCUCUAGACCUAUUUCAGCCAUGGAAGUGAGGCAUGCUGUUUCGGCCAAGCUCAAAUCUCAGAUUUAUGAGCAAAAUAAAUGAUUAUUGGGCCAAGCCACUAAGCAGCAGAUGACCAGAUCACAGGCAGUUACUAACUGCACCCAGUGGGGGAAGGAAACUCAGGCUUAGAGAGUAGAAAGUUGUCAAAGGUCCUCCUGACGAUAGGGAUCGGUCAGGAUCCAGACCCCAGGCCCAUAACCACUACACUGAGCUCCUACUGGUUCCAUAAGCCAAGUGAGGAAACUGAAGCUCAGAGAUGGGGAGUUAUUCACUCAACACCUCGCAGUUGGUAAAUUCGAGAGCAAGUCUGAAAUCAUUAAGUCUGACGCCAGGUCCUGGCUCUUUGUCCUGCACUAGGUUUUGAUCGUCUCUUGCCUGUCUCCCCAACCAGAAUCAGAGCUUCCAGCCUCCUUCCCUCCUGCACCCCAAGUCUCAGCAGGUGCCUGGCACCCAGGAGUCCCCAGCAGCAAGCAUAUUGCACGUGAAAGCUCUUCUGUGCCCCCCUCCCAUGACCUCACUGAUACUUGUCUUUGGAGACUCAACUUAGAUGCCACCAUACUGGGAAGUGUCUUUGACCCCACAGGCCUGCUCAGGUGUCCCAUGUGGGCUCCCAGUACCCAAUGCUGCCUCACGCACAGGACACAGCACCCCACCUCACGGCUGCCUUUGCCCAGGUCCAUUGGCCCUUCAACGUGGAAGCUUCUCAAGGGCAGGGAAUGGAUGUGACUCACCUGGAUCUCCAGCGUUGCCCAGCACAGGGCCUGGCAGGACUGCCACGGGCCGAGACGGGGAAUCUGGAGCUUGGAUGGGACAUGAGCAUCUCACAGAAGACAGAGAGGAAGAGGAGAAACAUCCAUCGUUUGCCUCCUGUUUGCACUCUGACCAGGGAAUCAAACCCACAACCUUUUGGUGUAUGGGAUGACGAUCUAACCAACUAAGCCACCUGGCCAGGGCUAAUAAGUUCGCUUUUGGUUAAGCCGGUGUGAGCUGCGAUUCUGCCACCUACAACAAAGAGCAUCCUGACCAGUGUCCCUGGCAUCACCGCUGCCAGAGGCCCAGGCCCCAGGAACUGGCCCCUGACAACCAGGAUGAGCAGAACGUCAGAGUCUGAGACCCACCAGCAAACGCGGGAAGCGUCAACAGGCCGUGCUGCCGGCACCUGUUACCUGGGGAGCCGGUGUGGCACCUGUGCCCGCCCAGCCCCGCCCCUGCCCUGUUGGCCUCCUCUCUGGUGAGAGCCUCUGCUUCGGUUUUCACAGUUGUGUUCUGGCUGCCCAGCUGUCCUCUCCGUUUUCUGCUGCCUGACAUGGGCGGGACACCCAGCGACGCAGGUGGACCCAUGAGUUUCCCCCGCUCCCCUGGGGCUGAGCCUGCCCUGUAGAAUCUCUCCCUGCUGGGGCCCCAGCUCCAUCUCUGAGUCUCCCG